rnacentral:lncRNA from 1 species
UGAUUUGGAUUUGUAUUGACUUUGUAAGAGCUUUACAAUGUCAAGGUUUGUUUUAGGUGAUUCUCAAUUUGUAAAAUAAAAUGGGAGAUACUUUUUGGAGAAUUUUGUAAGUUUGGCAAUAGAUCUAUGAGUGAAAUUUUGAAGAUUUGUAGAUUUAUAUGUAUUUAAUAUAUAUUGUGAGUUUGAGCUUGAUUGAAAGGUUGAAUCGAUGAUUAUUGAGGUUAAAGUUGGGAUCUCAGAAAGUAGAAUUUUAGGUUAAGUGAGGGUUUCUAAGUUUUCUUGCAAUCUAUCAAAUGGAUUGAAGUGAGAAUUGUGUAUGUGAGUAGUAGACUUAUUUUCCUAAAUUUGUAAAAAAUUUGAGAUUAAUUGAAUAAUUUGAUA